CCCGUGGGGGACCCGUGCUGGAGCAGUUUGCUCCUGGGGGAUGGACCCCGUGGCACGGAGCCAUGUGGGAGCAGUUCUUGAAGAGUUGCUGCCUGUGGGCAGCCUCCACAGGAUCAGUUUGGGAAGGAUGGCAUCCUGUAGGAGGGACCUCAUGUGGAGCAGGGAUAGAGUGACUGUGAAGGAGUGCUGUAGACUGACCGCAGUCCCUACUCCCCAUUCCCCUGCACUGCUUGGGUGGGGAGGAAGUGGAGGAGGGUGGAUGGGGGGAAGGUGUUUUUAGUUUCUUUCGUUUCUCAGUUCUCUAGCUUGUUAGUAAUAGGCAAUACUUUUUACUGUCUCCCUACUCUGAGUCUGUUUUGUCCGUCAUGAUAAUUGUUGGGCAAUCUCUCUGUCCAUAUCUAAAAUCUUGAGCCCUUUGCAUCGUAUUUUCUCCCCCUUUACCUUUGUGAAGGGAGAGUGAGAGAGCAGCUCUGGUGGAGCUCGGCUGCUCACCUGAGUAAAACCACCACACCCACCAUCACACCUCCCUGCCUGAUGAUGGGCACGAGGGCAGACAGCAGCACCAGCUGGGCACCACUUCUCUGCAAUGAAGUGGCAACUCGUGGACAUCAAGUGAGGUGGCAGAGCAGGAGCAGGUGGAGUGGGGCUGUGCCCUUGGACUCAUAUGCCCAGACAAGAGCGACUGGGGACACUGGGAUUCAGGGGCAGCUACUGGGAGACUGGAAGGAACCACAGUGUACAUAUGUCUUCAUACCUUUGCCUCUAAAAGACCUUCACUUGGACCAGCCAGAGCUGAAACAUGAGGAAGCCUGUCCAAGCUCAUGGGAGUACUGAAUAUGUCUGUCAGUCUGUGUGGUUAGCAAUAUAUAUAUUACAACAUAUAUAUAUAUACACACACACAUAUACACACACUGUAUACAUGUGUAUGCAUGAAGUCUACCAGGAGUACCUGCUUGCCACUGGCUGGUUCUAGGGCAUGGAGCAUUGCCUCUAUCAGUUGCCAGAAUUGACCCUUCCUAACACAAAUCAGUUUCUUCUAACUACUACAUUCUCUGUAGCUUGGCAGCUAAAACUAAAAAUUGAGGGAAAAAUGGCAGCUAGAUUGCAAAAUUUAGAUUGAUUUCAUUUAAAUACAGAUUCAUUCAGUCCUACAAUUUUUGUGUGUGGCCAGUCUAGGACCUUAACUAGGUCCAUCUCACAUGAGAUGAACAGUUGGUAAAUGCUAAAAUGGGUGUAAUAACUUUAAAUUCUGAUGCAGGCAUUCACAAAGUGACUGCAACUUCAUCGGUCUAUAAAAAGUUUUAAAUUCAGAAAUUAUUUCUAGCCACAGGAUAUAUAUUCAUUAAUUGUGUUGAUUAAACAGAAAAGCUAGUGUUUUCAAAGUUGCAGAUUAGUACUCUGUCAGGCAAUAGCUUUGUGCACAAUUAUUUCCUAUGUAUAUUUAAACCUUUAUCCAGCACCCAACUGAAAUUAAAUCUUUGAGAAGGUUAAAGAUUAAUAUUACCAUUCAGCAAGAAAUUCUCAAACGAAUCCUGCCAUAAUGGUAGCUUUGCUGUGUACCAGAGCAAAACAUCUUAAUUGCUGGUAUGUGGAAGUUUUUCUUUAUUUUAAUGAAGUUCUCAAUGCUGAAAUGCAUAUUAUACAUCAGCUGGAUUAGGUUGCCAUUACAAAUUGAGAAAAAGAUAUUUCAUGUUCUCUUUUCAAUACCGAAACAUGCAAAAGACCAAUAAAUCAGUAUUCAAACAAGUUAAUGUGGAAAUA
ensembl:lncRNA